AUUGAACGCUGGCGGCAGGCCUAACACAUGCAAGUCGAGCGGAUGAAGGGAGCUUGCUCCUGGAUUCAGCGUCGGACGGGUGAGUAAUGCCUAGGAAUCUGCCUGGUAGUGGGGGAUAACGUCCGGAAACGGGCGCUAAUACCGCAUACGUCCUGAGGGAGCAAGUGGGGGAUCUUCGGACCUCACGCUAUCAGAUGAGCCUAGGUCGGAUUAGCUAGUUGGUGGGGUAAAGGCCUACCAAGGCGACGAUCCGUAACUGGUCUGAGAGGAUGAUCAGUCACACUGGAACUGAGACACGGUCCAGACUCCUACGGGAGGCAGCAGUGGGGAAUAUUGGACAAUGGGCGAAAGCCUGAUCCAGCCAUGCCGCGUGUGUGAAGAAGGUCUUCGGAUUGUAAAGAACUUUAAGUUGGGAGGAAGGGCAGUAAGUUAAUACCUUGCUGUUUUGACGUUACCAACAGAAUAAGCACCGGCUAACUUCGUG
rnacentral:rRNA from 1 species